GCGUGUCUCCUGGCCCAACCGGCGGCGCGCUGCAGAGCCAGAGGCAGCUGGGCAUCCCUGCCAGCUUCCGACCCCGACCAGGGGGACAGAGGGGGACAGCGACCGCGCUCCCUGGGGACCGAGGGGGACCAUCUGGCAAAUGCCCCGUGGGCGCAGGCACCUCACCGGGGCACUGGGUGGACGCGGUCUGGGCACGCGGGGCGGGGCCGGCGGUUCCGUCCAGCAAGCGCAGGUCAAGGUCCUGCCCGUGGGGGGCCGCCGUCGGGAAUAGGCUCCCGGUCUCCCUGCCCUCGGCUCGCAGGUACCCUCAGGGCACCCGGCGUGUCCAGCGUCCUGGGCCUCCGGAAGUGACUGCGGACCCCGGGCUGACCACCUCCGCCGCGCGCUCAGGGGCAGAAAAAGAAAAGAUGCGUUUAUUUACUCAUGAGAGACGGAGAGAGCCUGUGAACAGGGGAGGGAGAGGGAGAGGACCUGAAGCCGUGGCCGGCUGAGCGCCAGCCCAGGGAUGCUGAGGCCUCUCAGGACCCUGAGGUCGCGCGACCUGAGCGGAAACCAGCCAUCCAGCGCUCCCGGGACUGCCCUGCCCAAGUGCCGCUCCACUCUGUCUCCUGCAACCCAGGAAUGGAUCCCAACUUUGGUGAUCUCUGCGCGGUGACCACAGGGCCACGCCACACGUGGCAUUGUGCCACUUGGGGUGAUCCGUUUCUCUUUCUCGAUGACUGAGCCUACCCAGGGCACUGACCCGUAGUCCUGUGCUCAUCCCGCACUCAGCGUGUGGAGGACACGAGAUCCUCGUGGAGGGUAAUACCCGAACGCAGCGACUCCACGAAGAGAAGGUCCUGGUCUCGGGACAGAAAGGCAUCGAAGGCCUUGCCCAAAGAGCCUAAAUAUCCCGUACAACAGUAGGAGUCUCCUCCCUCUCGGCUGUGGGGCCAGAAGUCCAAAAUCAGGGUGCCGCAGGGCCACACUCCCUCUCCAGGCUCUAGUGGGGUCCUUCCUGCCUCCUCCAGCAUCUGGUGCAUGACAGGGCCCAUGGGGGUCCUCAGAUCACAGCUCAGGCCAGGCUCUGGCCCUUCGGUCCUGCCCCUCCUGGGUUGGCCUUCUCUUCUGCUCAGGGCAGUCACUGGGCCAAGGCCAGCGUGACAGCCUGUGUAAAAAAAAAAAAAAAAAGGGG